rnacentral:lncRNA from 1 species
UGACCCUGUGGAGGCCUCGGCUAAUGCGAUUACUUUAAAACAUGAAAGAAAUUGCACCUUUUCCUUAAGGGCAAGAUGGUGCUGUGGGCUUUCCUCUCUCCUGAUGAGAUGAUGCAAAUGGACUCCAUAGAGAAACGCUGCCCGUGUAACAAUGCAGUUACGCAACCCGGUGCAUGACACAUGAAUUGCAGCGCACCUGAGAUCCUGAUGAAAUCCUGGGAGCCUGGAGCUGUCAAACAUGGUUUUAAAAAAUAAAGGGAAUACACCCAGCCCACACCCUGACUUUACAACCUUUAAUUAAUUAGAGGAAAGAAAGAG